rnacentral:rRNA from 1 species
CCUGCCAGUAGUCAUAUGCUUGUCUCAAAGAUUAAGCCAUGCAUGUCUAAGUACAAGCCUCACUAAGGUGAAACCGCGAAUGGCUCAUUAAAUCACACCUAAUCUACUGGAUAGUAAAAAGUUACUUGGAUAACUGCGGUAAUUCUGGAGCUAAUACAUGCACAAAGCCGCGACUCACGAAGCGGCGCUUUUAUUAGAUCAAAACCAAACGGCUUCGGCUGUACUCAUGGUGACUCUGAAUAACUUUGGGCUGAUCGCAUAGCCUUGAGCUGGCGACAUAUCCUUCGAAGGUGUGCCCUAUCAAA